rnacentral:rRNA from 1 species
UACGUAGGGGGCAAGCGUUGUCCGGAAUCAUUGGGCGUAAAGAGCGUGUAGGCGGCUUGGUAAGUCCGCUGUGAAAGUCCAGGGCUCAACCCUGGAAAGCCGGUGGAAACUGUCAAGCUCGAGUCCGGAAGAGGCGAGUGGAAUUCCUGGUGUAGCGGUGAAAUGCGCAGAUAUCAGGAGGAACACCAAUUGCGAAGGCAGCUCGCUGGGACGUUACUGACGCUGAGACGCGAAAGCGUGGGGAGCAAACAGG